rnacentral:rRNA from 1 species
AUUUAGACUGCUUCCUGCUAAGAUUUUCUGAUCUUAGAAAAUAAGUGGGAUUGGACUGGUUAGUACUUGGAUGGGAGCCUACCUGUAAAUGGCAGGUAUUGUAGAUU